rnacentral:lncRNA from 1 species
CUUUGCCUGAGACACUGAUGUUGAGGAUUUAUUCUGCAAGGAAGGGGCUGAGGUCACAACAUGUUUCGACUUUGAGGUGUUUUACCAGAGCUGAUUUUCUGCUGCUUUCCAAUCCAUCUGCAAAGCUCAGUUUUCCUUCCAAGAGCACUUCAAAAUGUGUUUCCCUUUAAGCAUGAAUUUCACCCAGUGGUCUGCAUCAGACAUUGUUCUGCUGCCAUCAGGGAAAGCCUUUUGCUAUUGUAUAUUCCUGACAGUUGUAAAUGUGAUAUUAUGGAGUUCAAGUUAUGGAGGAGGGAUGCAGUGGGAGAAGGUGAUCGGCUCAGACUGUACCGAGGGUGCCCUCUGCAGAAUCUUACACUCUGCUAACCUGCAACUUCUUUAUUUUUCUCCUUUUUCUUGAGGGGGAGCAAAAUCCUGCAGGGACUUUUAAACACCUUGGAGAGGUCUGGAGGAAAAUGUUUGCCAGCUUUGCACUGAAAUGUGUGACAGAAAUGUGCACACAAAGUGACCCUGUUAAACCUGACUGUGCCUGCAGCGGGGGAGUGUGCAGAGAAACGUGUCAGCAAUUCUGUGUGACAGCAAAUCCACGCUGGCUGGAGGCUGGAAGAAUAGA